GACGGAGGGUGCGAGCGUUGUUCGGAUUGACUGGGCGUAAAGGGCGUGUAGGCGGUCAGCCAAGUCUGGUGUGAAAGCCCGGGGCUCAGCUCCGGAAGUGCGCCGGAAACUAGCUGGCUGGAGCGCGGUAGAGGAGGGUGGAAUUCCUGGUGUAGCGGUGAAAUGCGUAGAUAUCAGGAGGAACACCGGCGGCGAAGGCGGCCCUCUGGACCGUUGCUGACGCUGAGACGCGAAAGCGUGGGGAGCAAACAGG
rnacentral:rRNA from 1 species